rnacentral:rRNA from 1 species
AUUGAACGCUGGCGGCAGGCCUAACACAUGCAAGUCGAGCGGAGCGGCGGACGGGUGAGUAAUGCCUAGGUAUCUGCCUGGUCGUGGGGGAUAACGUCCGGAAACGGGCGCUAAUACCGCAUACUAUCAGAUGAGCCUAGGUCGGAGUAGCUAGUUGGUGGGGUAAAGGCCUACCAAGGCGACGAUCCGUAACUGGUCUGAGAGGAUGAUCAGUCACACUGGAACUGAGACACGGUCCAGACUCCUACGGGAGGCAGCAGUGGGGAAUAUUGGACAAUGGGCGAAAGCCUGAUCCAGCCAUGCCGCGUGUGUGAAGAAGGUCUUCGGAUUGUAAAGCACUUUAAGUUGGGAGGCGUUACCAACAGAAUAAGCACCGGCUAACUUCGUGCCAGCCGCCGCGGUAAUAC